CGAUUCCCUUAGUAGCGGCGAGCGAAAUGGGAAGAGCCCAAACCAACAAGCUUGCUUGUUGGGGUUGUAGGACACUCUAUACGGAGUUACAAAGGACGACAUUAGACGAAUCAUCUGGAAAGAUGAAUCAAAGAAGGUAAUAAUCCUGUAGUCGAAAAUGUUGUCUCUCUUGAGUGGAUCCUGAGUACGACGGAGCACGUGAAAUUCCGUCGGAAUCUGGGAGGACCAUCUCCUAAGGCUAAAUACUCUCUAGUGACCGAUAGUGAACCAGUACCGUGAGGGAAAGGUGAAAAGCACCCCGGAAGGGGAGUGAAAUAGAACCUGAAACCGUGUGCUUACAAGUAGUCAGAGCCCGUUAAUGGGUGAUGGCGUGCCUUUUGUAGAAUGAACCGGCGAGUUACGAUUUGAUGCAAGGUUAAGCAGUAAAUGUGGAGCCGUAGCGAAAGCGAGUCUGAAUAGGGCGUUUAGUAUUUGGUCGUAGACCCGAAACCAGGUGAUCUACCCUUGGUCAGGUUGAAGUUCAGGUAACACUGAAUGGAGGACCGAACCGACUUACGUUGAAAAGUGAGCGGAUGAACUGAGGGUAGCGGA
rnacentral:rRNA from 1 species